rnacentral:lncRNA from 1 species
AAAGACAAUUCAAUGGCCUAGUUGAUGUCUACAGGAAGACACUGCAAUCUGAUGGCAUUGCUGGCCUUUACCGAGGAUUCAAUAUUUCAUGUGUUGGAAUUAUAGUUUACCGUGGUCUUUACUUUGGAAUGUACGACUCCUUGAAGCCUGUGGUUCUUACAGGGAAAUUACAGGUAUGUGGUUUAACUUGAAUGUACGACUCCUUGAAGCCGGUGGUUCUUACAGGGAAAUUACCGUGUUCUUGGAUCUGAUUCUGACUCAUUGCGUUUUUUACGAUUUCAGGAUAGUUUCUUUGCUAGUUUUGCUCUAGGUUGGGUGAUCACCAAUGGUGCUGGACUUGCGUCAUACCCUAUUGACACCGUUCGCAGAAGGAUGAUGAUGACCUCUGGAGAGGCUGUCAAGUACAAGAGCUCCCUGGAUGCCUUCUCCCAGAUCCUGAAGAAGGAGGGUGCCAAGUCUCUGUUCAAGGGUGCAGGUGCCAACAUUCUCCGUGCCGUUGCCGGUGCCGGUGUGCUCGCCGGGUAUGACAAGCUGCAGCUGAUUGUUUUCGGCAAGAAGUACGGUUCAGGUGGUGCUUGAGAUUGUUUUUGGCAAGAAGUACGGUUCGGUGGUGUUCCAGUGGCGCAUCCACCUAAUAAUCUGAUGGUGACGAUAACUUAUCUGAGAUUUAUUUCUUAAGCCUUUCCAUGCCUUUUUUUUUUCCAAGUUCUGUCGAAAUAAUUUAGAUUCCUCCAACAAAUAUUUGGAGCAAUAUUUUCGAGAACAUUUUAAUUGGACCAUUGUUUGCUAUUUAAUGCCUUAACAGCAAUGUUACCGGUGCUGGCGGCGACGGAUUUUGUUUGAUGUUUCAGAUUGUUGUGUUUUGCAUUUGGCAGAAAUAGAUUUAUGGGUAGAGACAUAUCUUGGAUUCAUUUCAAAGAAUUCUGACACUUGCAGAAGCUAAUAGUAACUUUGUAUCUUAUCAUGCAUCACGAUCAAGGUUUUGUAGCCCGAACCCGAGCGAACCAAAGCGGACCGCUCACAAACAGACCGGUCUUUACGGGCAGGCGUCAUAUUUAUGCGGCUGGAACUUCCAUUACCAAAGACCUUGCAAUUCGACUCCCUUUCACUCACUCGCUGCGGUCCACCUGCAACAGAAUCAAGAAGACGCCCAACUUCAUCCGGUCCUCCGUCUCGUCUUCCCCCGCCAUCUAUUCCCUCCUCUCCUCUCCUCCCCUCCCAUCUGCUUCCUCAAGGCCGCCUCCAACUCACCAUCACUCUCCGAACCCAGACGGUGACUAAGAUGCCACCUUCGGCCCACGUCGCUGCCCAUACCAUGCCGGCCGCCCAUCAGAUGCUCGAUGAAUUGUGCGACGUAUGUAUGCUGCAUUCUGCUCACCGUAAGUGCGUCCUAAUUAUCAUCGAGUCUUCGUACGGCUAGCUCACCUCAGUGCACCGUUGCAGAUUACGUUACGUUGGCGCAGAACGGAGAGCGUCGAGCGUCUCUAUGAAUCUUCAAGUGUUGGGAGGUUUCGGUGAGUCUUAUUUUCCCCAUCUUUCUCGAUCGAUCUCAUCUGCGCAUCUGUUGCGGUGGUAAACAAAAGGCACAGUUGAUGACCAAUUAAAACCGCUUACCUUAUUCUUUUAACUCGCUAUUGAGUGCCCAAUGAAAUUGCAGGUCGCAGCCAAAUGAUAUCACUCACCGACGACCUGCUCUUUGACCGGCCACGCCUCGGAGGAGCAUCGAUGGUUCGCAAGAUUCUGCAAUUACCAGCGCUCAUUUCUCAGCAUUGGAAAAGUAAGCAAGACAAUCUAACUCAUGCAAUUACACUGUUCAUAACUCUUCUCUUACCAAUGCAUUUCAUUUCAUAUCAUAUUCAAAGAUUUUAAUGGUGAGCAUGAUAACAAAUUCGAAUUCAACAUGAGUAAGCACGUAACAUGACUAGCUAAACAACAGCUUCUCAUAAUCCUAGCGAAUCCAAAUUAGCUGAGUUGCAAAUUUGUGCAUAAGAGUAGGCAACUUAUAGUUUAGACUAUACAAAAUAAUACGAGGCUAACCUAAUCAGAUGUCACUGCUCAUCAGGAUAAAUUUGAUGAGACUUCAGCAGAAACUCCCAACAGUAUAUCAUCAAUGGUUGUAAACAUUUAGGUAGAUUCAGAACAACAUAACAUAAAUGAGACAGACAAAAGCUCUCAACAUACCUAGAACACUUGGAUGUCACUUACCUUAGGAGUAGCACUGUUCAUCUGCAAUUUGGUAUUCAUAUUUACUCAAAAUAUUUCACUUACAUAAAGCAAAAGUUUGUCAGAGCCAUUUAAGUCAGAUGCUGAUUGUCUAAGACUGGAAACCAAGUAUUCAAGGUCAACUAUCAUCAUUUGGAUCACUACUGCUAAAUAAAUUACACAACAUCCUAACAAGAAACUAAUCAGACUAUCAUCAUCACAUACAGUCAGCAAGAGUACAUAUUACAAUAGGGUUCUUUUUCCAGCUCUCUGUAAGUGUUAGAUCAAGCUGAUGCAACUGAACCACAUACCUGCAAGCACAAGAACAGGAACAUAUUAUUUCUUUUCACAUUAGCCAUUUAAAUAUCACAGUGUUAACGUAGAAAAUGAGCAUAAGAAAUUUACUGAAGAACACCUUUGAAGCAACCGUAGGUUAAUUUAUGAACACGUCUACACCUGUAACUUAGCGUAUAAAGUAACUAUAGGGCAAGUUGAAAGAAAAGCAAUAAUGGUGAAGAUCAAUGCUUCUUUCCACAAUAACUUCUUUGAUUGAUCAAUGAACAUUGAGGAAAAAAAAAUCAUCAAAGUCCUGAUCAUGCUGUGGAAUUAGAUGAGUGGGUACAAUGCUUAUGCAAGACCAUCAUUAACAGCCUAUCUUGGCAGAAAAUGACACGAGAAAGGAGCAGUAAAUAUUCAAGUCAUAAAGCAUGAUAUUUCCAGUUCAGUCAAUAGCAAAACAACCGGUGCCAAGCAAGCUGGAGGCAAAAAAAAGAUGUAAACUUAUAGCAAUUGCAUACAGCAAAUAUAGUUUCCAGCCUAAAUAAGCAGAGGUGAGAUAUCUUAACAUUACAAAUUGCUUUAGACAUAAUGAAGAGUAGUGCAGCAUAAACAGGUUCGCUGCACCCUUUGAACGGCAAUUUGGGUCACACUCACAUGUAUGGAUUGUGAUGGUGCUCUAUGGUUAUGUUCGACAAAAAAUGAAAGAAGAGGAGCAUGCAAUAGAUGUCCUACACCCGGAGAGGAGUUGAUGAGGGGCAGGAAAAGGAGAUGAACAUAACUGUUUGCCGCUGCUAACCACCCAUCACCGACCAUGCACUGUCCAAUGUUUGUCAUGUGCCAUCCAAGGCAAAUUGCACUCAAUAUAUAUACGAAUAUGUGUUCAACAACAUUUUAGGGAGGGGGAGAGAAAGAGGGGCAUGACUUGAAUGCAAUGAGACAGGAUUUAAGCUCUGAGGCAUGAGUCUAACCAGAAAGAGACAAGAAUAAAAGGAAAAUAAAGAGAAAAUAAUUAUGUAAAAUAGAUUAUAUAAUAAAAAUACAAAUACAAUUAUAUAAACGACCCAUGCAGACCCCAACCAGAAACGGCCCCCGCAACUGAGAGUAUCCCUUACUACUCGUCGGGAAAUUUUCUGUACUAUGUCCUUGUAUCAUACCAACUACAUAUCAACUCAUGACCCAGGUAACCAUGGAAAGCAUAUGCUGAGAAAUAUUUUUGAGAAACUAGUAGUACGUUGAUGAUAUAGAAUUAUGAAAUGAUUUUAUGAGCUCCAAUGUAACUAAGUGUUUUAAUUAGAAUACCAACAUUUGAACAUCUUGAUAAAUCUUGAAUACAAAGAAUCAAGGUCUUCUACAUAAUGACAAACAUACAGUAUCAUAAAAUAAUUUACAACUAGGCAAGGACUAUUCAAUCUCCAAUCUUGAAGUUAUACACAUGCAUCUUAGUUACAUACUUUUAAGGUCAUUUUUUUUUAGAAAUUAUUGAAGUGAAAAGUAUUUCAUGCAGAAGAGAUCGAAGUCAAAUAUGGAUCCAAGUGAGCAACAUUACCAAAGGUUUGCAAUAACUUACAAUAUAUGCCCACUAAAGUUCAGUGUAUUUCAGCAUGAAAUAAUGAUGUUUUAACCUCUAAUUAUACUAUUUUGCAAUAUAAAAGAACUUUAUUACAUAUGAUUAAAGCAUCAUUAGAAUAAAGAUUCAACCAAUUUUUAUGUUUUGUAAUGCUAACCUUGCAAAUGAAACAUCAAUGAUUGUAGCUAGCACAGGAAGGCUGAGAUUUGAGGAUCACAAAACACAAAUAUGUUUUGUAAGUAUUUAUAGUUAAUGUUGCCAUGUUAUUCAUCUGAUAGACAGUAAAGUUACAUCCUGCAUAUUAAAUACUAGUCAAUUACCAGCAUCAGGCAAGCCCUCAAUAUCCAAAAGAGUUUCACCAUGGAAAAGCUUGAAUUGAGAAGGCUCCAUGAAAAUGGUAGUUAAACAGAAUAACAAAUUCCAAAUAUAACCUCAAAUCAGCAAAAUAAUGAACAUAGUUCUAGAGCCAGGUGACACAUCAAAAAAGGACACAAGGAAAAUGGUGAAGGCGUAGACCAUCUAACCAGUUACUGGAUAGUAUUACGACUUCUUUAAUAAAUGGUUUGCCAACAAGUCAGAUAUCCCUGAGACAGGAAGGCUCUCGCAACCAAAUAGUUCUUGAAGCUUGGGGUCACAGAGAAUAGAUGAAUUUGCAGAAUCCUACAAUAAGCCAAAGCAGAAAAACUCAGAUUAAGUAGUGUUUCUAAUCAAGAGAUGUAUCAGAUAAGAGCAGAUACAAUAGAAAUAAACAAGUAGAAAUUGUGGUCACAUAAAAUAUCAGCAGCUGUAAACAUUAAAGCAAUGUGAGAAUCUUGUCAAAUCAAUGUUAUUCAGAAAUAGAGUUGUAUCCCAUGCUUAGUCACAUUUUGUCCUCACCGGUUAUUGCUCAGAAAAUGAAAUGCAGUUGUCACAUAGAACCUCUGGUUAGCUUAGAUGUUAAUCAACCAAACAAAAUUUUGAUGAACAACCUUUAAAUUUCAAACUAAAACACUAGCAAAUAUUCUCAAAUCCAAUAAAUAUCUUAUAUUACAUACUCAUCAUGAUUGGACCCUGCAAGGCCUUACUCUGAUCUAGGUGUAUUAACUGACAACACUACAAAUCCCCACCCCCACCUCAUUUUCCCCUAUUCAAUUGAUAUUCACCUGAAAUUAACCUGUUCCAGCCAACCCUGGAUGAUUCAAUCAAGUCCAACUGGAUCUUGUCCAUUGUCGAUCAGUUUGGUAGAGAUCAGGGGAGAAAGGAGACGGUGAGCCAGGUCACACGAUUUUACAAGUAUUUUCGAGUGAAUAUACUUUGAAAGGGAAAUGGGGAUGGAAGAGUGCAUCUUAAAAUCAAAUGGCUACAGUAGAUCACAAAGUGAGAAGGCUGAACACUAUAUUUAGAACUUAAAAUGAACUGUCAUGCACUUCGUAGAACAAAAAUUUUGCAAACAACACCUAGAAUUCCUCAUAACAAACAUAUCAUUAAUAGUCUUCAUUUUUUUAGAUUUACAGACUAUAUACAUUUUCUUCCUUUUUUUUUGUAAAUCUCAAUUUUUCAUUCAAGAUCUCUUUUUCACAAUGGCCCCUGAUCUGUUCUUACUGGUCUCAGUCCCACUAACCUCAAUGUUCAUUCAAAAAGUUCUGUUUUUGGUCACAAUUAAAAUGUCACUUCUGAAAUAGAAGAUAUAACACAGCUACAGGCAUCCAUAUCUCCAUGAGAAUUUAAUUAGAAGCUGAAUGAAUUCCCAAGCUCAUCUUCAUUGAAUAGCAUGGGAAGAUAUGCUUACGAUGUUAAUGUCUAAUCUUUGAAGAUGUUACAAGAGAUGAAAGUACAGAUAGGAAGACCCUGGGUAUAGGAAGGACUCCUGAUCUUUGUCUGAUCUUCCAAUCUUCCAAGGAAAGGAUUCCAUAGCUCACUAAAUGGAUUGGUUAAACUAUUCAUCCAUCCUUGGAGUCAAAAUACUUGUCCAUUUGGUCCUGAAGGAUCAGACAACUAGAGCAUGAUGACAGACCGAACAAAUGAUCCAGAUAACCUAAGCCAUCCAAUCCUUAUAUAGGGGAUUGGUUCCACCCAAGCCAUCUUUUAACCCAUCACUAAAUUUUGGAAAUGAAGCACAGCACAUAUGGACACUAAUAACUGAGCAGUUCAC